rnacentral:rRNA from 1 species
UACGUAGGGUCCGAGCGUUGUCCGGAAUUACUGGGCGUAAAGAGCUCGUAGGUGGUUUGUCACGUUGUUCGUGAAAACCCACAGCUCAACUGUGGGCGUGCGAGCGAUACGGGCAGACUAGAGUACUGCAGGGGAGACUGGAAUUCCUGGUGUAGCGGUGGAAUGCGCAGAUAUCAGGAGGAACACCGGUGGCGAAGGCGGGUCUCUGGACCGGAACUGACGCUGAGGCGCGAAAGCGUGGGGAGCAAACAGG